AACGAACGCUGGCGGCGCGUCUUAAGCAUGCAAGUCGAACGGCAAGAUUGGUGCUUGCACCGAUCCUAGAGUGGCGGACUGGUGAGUAACGCGUGGGUGACGUACCCUAAGGAUGGGGAUAGCUGGUAGAAAUAUCAGAUAAUACCGAAUAUCCUUAUUGUUGUUAGAGGACAGUAAGGAAAGGAGCUUUGGCUUCGCCUAAGGAUCGGCCCGCGUACUAUUAGCUAGUUGGUGAGGUAACGGCUCACCAAGGCGACGAUAGUUAUCCGGCCUAAGAGGGUGAACGGACACAUUGGGACUGAGAUACGGCCCAGACUCCUACGGGAGGCAGCAGCUAAGAAUAUUCCGCAAUGGAGGAAACUCUGACGGAGCGACGCCGCGUGGAUGAUGAAGGCCGGAAGGUUGUAAAAUCCUUUUAAGCAAGAAGAAUAAACUUUACAGGGAAUGGUAGAGUGGUGACGGUAUUGCUUGAAUAAGCAACGGCUAAUUACGUGCCAGCAGCCG
rnacentral:rRNA from 1 species